rnacentral:ncRNA from 2 species
UAAUUAAAUAGUUGCCGUGCCUUUUGGUCUAAGGGCUUUGCCUAUGAUCAUCUGGCCUGAGCAGAAAUGCUCACGGGGUCGUGAUUGGAAACGAUGCGGCCUUCACGUUUUGAGAAGGAAACAAAAAAAUGUAGGC